AAGUCGUAACAAGGUUUCCGUAGGUGAACCUGCGGAAGGAUCAUUAACACGUAUCCAAACGUUAAAACCCCCCCCGUGAACCUUCAUCCUGCUCUUGUAACCCGCGUAGUUCGCAAUCUCUGAUAAAUCAUAGCCCGGAAAGUUGUAGUGAUUCAGAGACCUCUGGCUACGUGCGAACAUUGGAACAGUUACAAUCGAGCGGUAGUUCUAUAGGCAAUGUUUCCCCAAGCAGUCAGUGUCGGAAAGUGUCAUUGAUUGUGCAAGGAUAGCGCUUCUACGAUUCCUGUCACAUUAAACUGUGGGGUUAUUAGGGGGCAUGGAGACCCUUUGGCAAAGCUCCUGCCCGAGUGUCCUGCCCGAGUGUACGGUCUACAUUGGGUAAAAAAACCGAACAACUGUUAACAAUGGAUAUCUUGGUUCUC
rnacentral:misc_RNA from 1 species